rnacentral:rRNA from 1 species
UACGGGGGGGGCAAGCGUUGUUCGGAAUUACUGGGCGGAAAGGGCUCGUAGGCGGUCGGGUAAGUCUGACGUGAAAUCUUCAAGCUUAACUUGGAAACUGCGUCGGAUACUAUUCGGCUGGAGGAAUGGAGGGGAGACUGGAAUACUUGGUGUAGCAGUGAAAUGCGUAGAUAUCAAGUGGAACACCAGUGGCGAAGGCGAGUCUCUGGACAUUUCCUGACGCUGAGGCACGAAAGCCAGGGGAGCAAACGGG